GAGCAGAGGGCAGGGUUAGAGCAGAGGGCAGGGUUAGAGCAGAGGGCAGGCAUCUGUACGCUUUCUGACUGACAGGAAAGAGAAAGAUGGAGCAGGAAGAUGGAGCAGGAAGAUGGAGCAGGAAGAUGGAGCAGAAAGAUGGAGCAGGAAGAUGGAGCAGAAAGAUGGAGCAGUUCCUGUACAAAAAGAAGAAUGAAAAAAAAGAAGAGAAAAUAAAACAAGAAGUGGCGCCAAAAUAUUUGCACUUUCUCCUCCCGAUAUUUUACUUUCUAUCUGUUUUCACAUUUGUUAGAUAUUUUCUAGUGUGACUAAAAAGGUCUCGAUAAGAAUACUAACUCUUCUUCUCAUUGUCAACGUUAAUGUCUAAAAGCAGCAAGACAGUUACCCCCUGUAAGGUUCUUCACUGGGACAUUAUCCAUGUUGCUGUGGCGUUCUGGUUCUUCACUGGGACAUUAUCCAUGUUGCUGUGGCGUUCUGGUUCUUCACUGGGACAUUAUCCAUGUUGCUGUGGCGUUCUGGUUCUUCACUGGGACAUUAUCCAUGUUGCUGUGGCGUUCUGGUUCUUCACUGGGACAUUAUCCAUGUUGCUGUGGCGUUCUGGUUCUUCACUGAGACAUUAUCCAUGUUGCUGUGGCGUUCUGGCAACACAACAUCCACAACAGCACACGAAAGUAGAAGCACAGUUAAAUGUGUCUUCCAACAAAGCAAAUGUUCCCUAUAAUGUUUAUCUGUUAAUCCCAAUGUUACUCUGUCAGCUGUGAGGCUGGUUUCUGUCUGUUCUGUCUCCUUUAAUGACACAGGAGCUGAUGACAAGAAGAAGCUUCUUAAUAAGUUACAAAACAACAGCCUCAGUUUGCUACUACAAUAAAACCGGUAAACUGGUAGCUGUAACCAGAAAUAAUGACAACCCGUUAAAAUCACCAGUUAGACGAUCGUGUCUUUCUAGUUGUGUUCGUGGACCCCAGGAAGACUAGCCUGUUGUUAUGGUGUCCUAGGGGGAUCCUAAUAAAGAUGAAAGAUUAUAGUUCAACUGCAGAAGUAAAGAGACUCAAUCCCACAUAAUUCACGUCUUCAGAAGUCCAGUAUCUGUGUGAAGCGUUAUUAACGUUGGUCCCUGACUAGAGAGGCUGUUUGUACAGGGAUGUAGUGAACCAAUACAAGUGAACGUGUUCAGUAUGUUUUGUUUUGUAAAAUGUAUAUGAACUGCAAUAUUCAUUAUAUGAAAUGGUAUGGGGUGGAUAUGAAACUGUGAGACUGACUGAGUUAAAGUGUAAAGUAUUUCUUUAUGGGUUAUAAUAAUGAGAGGUUUAGACAUGAAACCCCUGGCACUGUAUUAAU